rnacentral:rRNA from 1 species
CACGUAGGGCGCAAGCGUUGUCCGGAAUUAUUGGGCGUAAAGAGCUCGUAGGCGGUCUGUUACGUCCGCUGUGAAAACCCGGGGCUUAACCCCUGGCUUGCAGUGGAUACGGACAGACUAGAGGUAGGUAGGGGAGAAUGGAAUUCCCGGUGUAGCGGUGAAAUGCGCAGAUAUCGGGAGGAACACCGGUGGCGAAAGCGAAUCGACUGGACCUCUUCUGACGCUGAGGCGCGAAAGCCAGGGGAGCAAAGCGGG